AGGUGUAGAAGGGACCACCUAUUCUAGGUAGGGCAGUCACAAAGAGCCAGGCAUGUAAGCUGAGGCUGUUGGUAGAGCUCAGGGAAGAGCAACCCAAGGUGAAGACACAGUGAUGUCUUCUGGCUUUCAAGUUUUAAAACCUGUAUGCCCUUGAUCCUACUCCUUCCUCCACUAUCGCACCUUCUUGGAAAUCUGAGACAUUCAUGUCCCAGGAGUGACCAGCAUGAAGAGAGCUGAAACCCAGCCCCAUUGCAGAGCUGGCUCCCAAGGAUCUAUCUUGGGAUAAUUUCCUCUGUCUGUAUCCAUGGCUUCUGCUGAGCUUCAGAUCAGAAUGUAUGCCAUUAUGUUCCACAGCUGCCAAUCAAAGGCACCCAGCUAACUUCUCUACCUUGGAGGAUCAGGUGAAAGAAAACACCAGAUGGGAAGAAAAGUGGAGAGAAUGAUUGAGCCUGGAACCUCAGCAUGGCAUUAUCCACAUGGGCUGUUUUAUCAGUACGCCUUUUUGUAACCCCAGAUAAGGGAAAACCAUAGCCAGAAAAAGAUGACAACAGGGAAAUUCAACCACUGCAGGCAUUUAUUCUUAUCUUUUGUUUUUAUAAAGAAUGACAAAUAAUCUGAGCAUAUAAAAAUCAUCGCUUUGCAUGAAACCCAAAUUUA